rnacentral:lncRNA from 10 species
ACCUGACCCUCCCAGAUUCCUGUGGAAGGAAGCAUCCUCCCCACUUCACCCCAUUCCCAAGCCCUGACUCAAGGAGGGACUGAGGAAAGAGGCCCAGAGAGGGGGCAGAGUUGUUCUAAGUCACAGAGCAGACAGGAUCCAGAGGACAACUCUCCCUAGCCCCUGCCCAGGGUACUGUGGGAGGUGCACACACAGGCCAGGGACCUUGAUUCUUCCCUCACUGGCAUGUGACCUUGAGAAAUCCCCUCUCCACCCUGCAAAAGUAGGACUUUAAAUUAGCUCAUGGCUCUAUCAGCAAAAGCAGUGCCUGUUUCCAGGUGUGAGUUAAAAUAAUACAUUAUCAGCCAGGUGCAGUGGCUCACACCUGUAAUCCCAACACUUUGGGAGGCCGAAGCGGACAGAUCACCGGAGGUCGGGAGUUCAAGAACAGCCUGACCAACAUGGAGAAACCCGGUCUCUACCAAAAAUACAAAAUGAGAUGGGCAUAGUGGCACAUGCCUGUAAUCCCAGCUACUUGGGAGGCUGAGGCAGGAGAAUCGCUUGAAUCCGGGAGGUGGAGGUU